CAAGUGAGUCGUCUCAUGGACCUCAUUGUUAACAGCUUGUACAGCUACAAAGAGCAAUGCAAGUGAUGCUUUGGAUAAACUGCGCUUUCUGAGUGUGACAGACCCUGGACUUUUGAAGGAAGCAAUUGAUUUUCACAUAUGUAUCCAUAGUGAUAAAGAUAAUGGGAUUAUAAGCAUAACGUAAGGGUUCUGCUAUUUGCAUCCCCCCUCCUCCUCCAUACCGACAAUGCUGCAACAUUUGCAGCCUGUUUUCUAUCUCUAUGCAGUGAUACUGGCAUAGAAGAAGAAGAAGAAGAAAACAGAGACUGUUGUGGAGAAGUACUGGGACUGGGAGCUCACUAAUGAGACCCAACCAAUAUGGCUUCGAAAAGGAAGUCUCCACGGAGGAGUACAAUGUAUUCUACAGAAAAAUUUUCAAUGAGUACUUGGAUCCAUUAGCAUCAUCUCAUUUUACAACGGAGGGUGAAGUAGAAUUCAGGUCAAUACUUCAUGUUCCCUCUGUUUCUCCCACGGGGAAGGAUGACCUCAUCAAUCCCAAGACUAAAAAUAUUAGGCUUUACGUGAAAAGGGUGUUUAUUUCAGAUGAUUUUGAUGGAGAAUUGGUAAAACUUACCUAAAUGAAACAUCCUUUCUGUACUUUAAAUGUUAGUUUUACCGGUGACAAUGCUGAUGAUUUUUAAGUCAUUCGGGUCGAGGUCAUUAGUUUCCAGAAUUAUAGGAUGACCCUCUGCCUUCAUUAUUGGUCUACUUUGUGAAAUUACAACAAAGGAAACAGUAAUUGGUAUGUGUUUUAGGUGAUAAGAAUGAAGAGAAAGAGAAAGAAAUAAAACAAGAGUUGGGCCAAACUUGUGAUUGGAUUAAAGUUGCCAAUGUUCAGAUGUCAAGUCGCCUAAGUUCUUCACCCUGUGUUCUUGUCGCUGGAAAGUUUGGUUGGUCUGCCAACAUGGAGAGGUUGAUGAAGGCACAAACUGUUGGUGAUGCCUCUAGUUUGGACUUCAUGAGAAGUAGAAGCGUGUUUGAAGCGAACCCUGAGCAUCAAAUCAUUAAAAACCUGGAUGCUGCAUACAA